CAUUUAUCUUCGUUUCCGCCACACCCAUGGAGAAGCCCCCGUCCCUUCAACUGCAAAUACCGCGGCUGCUGCCCGCUACCUCCAAGUCUAAGCCCCCGCCUGAUGUGGGGCUUAGUGGAGCGAGCGCGCGGAGAUGCCCUCGCGAGGGAGGGAUACGUCCAGCUUGGUUGAGGAUCAUACAGGUGAUGCUCUUGCAAGUUAUGCAGUUGCUGCCUCAGGAUUCCGGCUUCCCUUUGCCAAAGCUAGUUAAUGUUGUUAGCACUUGAACCCUGGUUGAUUAGAACCACCUUUUUCCUGACUGCAAUUGUCAAUAGUUCAGAGUCAGUAUUACAGGUUUCUAUCACAAGUACUGGAGGAUGAAGCAUUGAAGUCGUCAACAGAUCGACGAUGCAGUGAUCAGGAUCAUCUGUCAGAUCGAUGAUCUAAUGGUUACUAAGAGCAGAGACGAUUGCUGAGCAUUCAAGUUUCUUCUGCAUAUUAUUUAUGAAUCAGUUAUGCUAAGCGAUGUAUUUUUGCUAAUGCAUGGUGCUCUAUAUGUCAGAAAUCAAGUAUCAACUGCAUACUGGCUAUGAGCUAUUGUUUAUCUGGGACUGGGAGCUUAUUUAUGUUCCUCAGCUUUUAGUUCCUAAAGCGGAUAAUUCCAUGAUUCCACUACCCUUUGAGAUAAUCAAAACCGGACCCUGUCAGCUCAUUCCGGUUCAACCUGUGGAUCUGUAAUACAAGGUUGUACUGCAUCCUGUUUGUAAUACAAGCUCUUAUUUCCCAGAGAAAGGGGUCAACAUUCUUUUGAUUA